UCUCGGCAUGGCCGGCGGUUUCGAGGACAUCUCGUUUUCGGUGCGGCGCGGCGAGAUCGUCGGGCUGACCGGCCUGCUCGGCUCCGGCGCCAAGGA
rnacentral:tRNA from 1 species